rnacentral:lncRNA from 1 species
AUGGUGCAAGGUCGCCAAACUAUUAUGCUAGAAUUCAUACGUUGUUGCAGUGUGGGCCCAGGUUUGCGCAUCUGUGAACUUGUGAGAUAAACAAUUUCUCUCUCCAAUGCGCCCAACUUUUCUUUAUGGCUGGGAGAUAUGUUGUUUUUGGGGAGUUGUAGGAAUUUCAUGCAACGCUCCAACAUAUGUUUAAACUUUUUCAGCUUCUCAGCUUGAUCGCCGUUUGGUUGCUGAGGAAGAGAAUCAUGCUGGUCAACAAUAGUCAUACAUGAAAUUAUAACUUCAAAGGGUUUGUAUCAGUGCUUAAAAUGGAUAUGACCAAGAAACUUACCUGCUGCAAUCUGCCUAAAAUUUUCGGGUACAGAUCGGCCAGCCCUUGAAAAUACUGAUCCUUCAUAGCUUUCACCUGUAAAAUGGAAGAUUGUAGUUGCAUGUUCAAAUUGUGUAAAUAAAAGGAGAUCCAUAAUUGUAUUAUUCAUUUGUCUUUAAACUCAUAGUUAUUAAAGGCGUUAGGCGCACCCAAGGCGCAUAGGCCUCGCCUGGGGCCUAGGCGCAAGGCGCAAAAAAGCGUGGGCCUGAGGAAAAAAAAGCGCACAACAAAAAAUAAAUUAAAAUAUUUUUGUAUAAUAGAAAAUUAAUACUAUUCUUCAUAUAAAAUAAACUAAAGCUAUUAUAUAACAUUUAAUAUCGUCUAUUUAAUACGAAAAGUUAUAAAAUGCUAGUUUAUUAGUGUAUAAAAGUAGUUUCGUUAGAUAAAAGUAGAAAUCUAGCUGUAAUCUUGCCGUAAUUUAAAAAAUUUGGCCGGAAUCUACGCAUGAACCAUCACAUGGAGAAUUAAAGCGCAAUUGCCUCGCCUCGCUAGGAAAUUGGGCCUAGGCGCAAAAGGGGAUGGCUUUUAACAACUAUGUUUAAAAUUACAGCACCUUUUGAUACACCUCUUCUUGACAAUCUCCACUGUUUGGAUUUCCUGUCUGAGCUGUGGAAUCUGAAGAUGCUAC